AUGCGAUCAAUAUACCCGAGCCCCGGGCGGGUACGUGGUGGGGCGGAGGGGGCUGGGUUGGGGACUAAGGUGGGAGGAGAGCAGGACCGUAACCGGAGAAGCAGACACGUUCAGGAGAGGGGGGGGAAAAACAAAAUUAAAAAAAAAAAAGGAGGUGUGCGGGCCGAAGAAACCACUGAGCAUCACGGCAUGAUUCAGUCAACUGUUCCCGUGUUUAAGUUACGCAGAAGGCCCCGGGACUACAGCUGUUGUAUUUACCGUCGGGCAGGUGAUGGGAGCUGGUCCUUCUGGGCUGCACAGCCCCCGAGCCUCCCGGUGCAAAGUGGGAGGGGGGUCAGGACCGGGCUGGGGGCGGAGGGGGGCUGGCAGGAGGCCGAGUGCCCCGUCCCCACCUGGGCGGGGGGCGCAGGGGGCCGCAGCGUCCCCGCGGGGAGGGGGAGGGGAGAGGCGGGCCGAGGAGGGAGGGGAGGGGAUGGGGAGGGGAUGGGGAGGGGAUGGGGAGGGGAUGGGGAGGGAGUGGGAGGCCGAGUGCCCCGUCUCCGCCUCCCCCAACCUGGAGGGAUGCGCGGCGGCCGGAGCGUCCCCGCGGGGAGGAGGCGGGGCAGAGGGAGGGGAGGAGGGGGGAGGGGAGGGGAGGGCCGGGAGGGGUUGGGAGGCCGAGUGCCCCGCCCCCGCCCCCCCACCUGGUGCGGAUGCGCGGCGGCCGAGCGUCCCCGCAGGGGGGGGGGGGGGGGGGGGGGUGGGGGCGGGGCCCGCGGAGCGCGCGGGAGGGGGGGCGGGGGGCGGCCGUGCCCGCGCUCGCUGUCGCCCCGCCCGGCUCCGAGCGGCAGCGCGCUGGCCUCCAGCCCGAGCCGGUCACCCGGGCGCCCAGGCCUCCGCGGCUUAGCGCUGAGCGGGAGCGCGCGGCCGGGGCGGCGUCGGGGUCCCUGCAGCCCGGGCGCUCCCGCCCCAUCGCGGAGGCCCCGCCCUGUCUCGCGGCCCGAACCACAAAAGGCCGCGCGCCGAGCCCGCCCCGCCCCGCGCCGCCCCGCCCCGCCCCACCCCGCGCGUCGCAGUGCCGCAGGGGCCUCGGCCGGGCCGGGGAGCGCAGCCGCAGCCUCCCGCCCGCCGGCCAAUCGGCGGCGCCCUCCUGGCCCGGGGCGGUCUGCGGCGCCGGCUCGGGCCGAGUCCCUUCCCCUUUCUCUGCCACGUCCCAACCGGUGA
rnacentral:lncRNA from 1 species